UUUCCGGUUGAUCCUGCCAGAGGUUACUGCUAUCGGUGUUCGCCUAAGCCAUGCGAGUCAUAUGUUCUUCGUGAACAUGGCGUACUGCUCAGUAACACGUGGAUAACCUGCCCUUGGGUCCGGCAUAACUCCGGGAAACUGGGGAUAAUUCCGGAUAACGCACAUAUGCUGGAAUGCUUUAUGCGUCAAAUGGAUUCGUCUGCCCAAGGAUGGGUCUACGGCCUAUCAGGUAGUAGUGGGUGUAAUGUACCUACUAGCCGACGACGGGUACGGGUUGUGAGAGCAAGAGCCCGGAGAUGGAUUCUGAGAUAUGAAUCCAGGCCCUACGGGGCGCAGCAGGCGCGAAAACUUUACAAUGCGGGAAACCGUGAUAAGGGGACACCGAGUGCCAGCAUCAUAUGCUGGCUGUCCGGGUGUGUAAAAUACACCUGCUAGCAAGGGCCGGGCAAGACCGGUGCCAGCCGCCGCGGUAACACCGGCGGCCCGAGUGGUGAUCGUGAUUAUUGGGUCUAAAGGGUCCGUAGCCGGUUUGGUCAGUCCUCCGGGAAAUCUGACGGCUUAACCGUUAGGCUUUCGGAGGAUGCUGCCAGGCUUGGAACCGGGAGAGGUAAGAGGUACUACAGGGGUAGGAGUGAAAUCUUGUAAUCCCUGUGGGACCACCUGUGGCGAAGGCGUCUUACCAGAACGGGUUCGACGGUGAGGGACGAAAGCUGGGGGCACGAACCGGAUUAGAUACCCGGGUAGUCCCAGCCGUAAACGAUGCUCGCUAGGUGUCAGGCAUGGCGCGACCGUGUCUGGUGCCGUAGGGAAGCCCGUGAAGCGAGCCACCUGGGAAGUACGGGCCGCAAGGCUGAAACUAAAGGAAUUGGCGGGGGAGCACAACAACCGAGUGGAGCCUGCGGUUUAUUGGGCUCAACGACGGACACCUCACCGGGGGGCGACAG
rnacentral:rRNA from 1 species